rnacentral:antisense_RNA from 1 species
CUUCAACGACCCCAGCAACAGCGGGUGCGCCCGCUCCCCGCCGUACGCGGCGAUCAGCGCCUGCGCCUC